GCAGUGGGGGUUUUAGGGGGUGUCCCCCCUAAUGCGGGCCUUUCGAGCCCGUGACCCGGGUUCAAAUCCCGGCCGCGGCA
rnacentral:tRNA from 1 species